rnacentral:rRNA from 1 species
UGGACCUACGGGGGGCAGCAGUCGGGAAUAUUGCGCAAUGGAGGAAACUCUGACGCAGUGACGCCGCGUGCAGGAAGAAGGUUUUCGGAUUGUAAACUGCUUUAGAUAGGGAAGAAAAAAAUGACAGUACCUAUAGAAUAAGCUCCGGCUAACUACGUGCCAGCAGCCGCGGUAAUACGUAGGGGGCAAGCGUUAUCCGGAUUCACUGGGCGUAAAGGGAGCGCAGGCGGCAUGGCAAGUCUGAUGUGAAAACCCGGGGCCCAACCCCGGGAGUGCAUUGGAAACUGCCAGGCUGGAGUGUCGGG